AUGUUUUAAACUUCUAAGUAAGGAAAAUUAUGAUUGGGGUGACACUGAAUCCUCACAGCUAAUGUGAGAUGAAUUUUGUGUGGGUAAAGCUGUCCCUAAGGUGACCUGCCUACUUUGCAGGAUGCCUGGGAGCUGUGAUGUGCCUA
rnacentral:snRNA from 1 species